GGGGAGAGGGGAGUUCCCAAAAUGCAUUAGAUAAGGGUAGAAUCAGGAUGGAAUGUGAGUUUUGGGCAGAAUGAGUGGAUGGAUGAUGGUGCCCUUGAACAGCAAUUCCCCAUUAUUUUUUUCCAUCACUUGCAACAAGGAGGUCAUAGUCAAGGAAUAUUUUCCAAGAUAACAGGCGAAUGGAACGAGGGUAGUAAAGGUUUCAAGGAAUCUCAAUGAUUGGAGAUUAACGAAUAUGAAUCACUUCUCUUGGCCCUAUCAAGUGUGUCCCCAAUGAGGCUGAGGAUGUUUCACUUUGGUACCUUAACUGUAAGGGGAUCUUCUUUGUAAAAUCUUUCUACUCUCACUUGGCUAAGAGAGGGGGAACAUAGGAAGAGAUCCCUUCUAGAAAAAAUUGGAAGGUUAAUACAUCAUAUAGGGCCACAUUUUUUGCUUAAAUAGCGGCAAGAAAAUGUAUUUUAAC
rnacentral:lncRNA from 1 species